rnacentral:rRNA from 1 species
AUGGACGCCACGUACGCUGGAAAGCUGACCCAGGACUGCCCCGCCGGUAGUGAUCCCACGGUGCCGCAAGACUACAAGACCCCCGACGUGUUGGACAAUCAGUACUACAGGAACGUGAUGGAUCGCAAAGCGCUCUUCACCUCCGACGCGGCGCUCAUGACGUCACCAAAGACCAAGGAGUUGGUGGAAAAGUACACUUGGUGGUUGAUCGGAGAUUUCUUGUGGUACAGACAUUUCGAGGAUGCCAUGGUGAAGAUGGGUAAUAUCGAGGUGAAGAACAGCACCAACGGCCAGAUCAGGAAGAAGUGCGGGUUCGUGAACGAGCCCUACACCGGUUGA